UCGAGAGCAGGUCUGGAAUUCCGCUAGUUCUGAACUAUUCAUGUUUGGUAAAAGUUCACUACUAGCAGAACUCAGAUUUGCUCCCGA
rfam:Tetraodon nigroviridis, WGS project CAAE01000000 data, contig: CNS0BYQ4, chromosome: 11